GCUCAAAGGAUCAUUUAAUAGCAGGAUGUCCAAAUAAAAAAGUACUUACUCGCCCUGAGUUGAGAUCUUGGAACCGAGCAGCGUGGCAACCUCCUUGCGUGUCAUAUCGGCGAGUGUGUUAAUGUUGAGGCGAUAGCUGCUCACACGGCUGUUGGAUAGAUCCACCAAAGACUUCUUCGCCGCGAAGAUGCUCUCACGGAACUCACGCUCCCUUUCGUCCGGAUACACUUUGCCCGUCUGCCGCAGAAAGUCAUCAAAGUCGCGCACAUUGCAGAGCCUUGGGAAUGACUGCAGCUUCUGCAAUGACACAGCAUUUAACCAGGCCAACAGCAGCAGCAGCUGCAACAUCUCUGAUUUGCACAUCCACAUCUGAACAGCGAAAUGUCGUGUCGAGUGGAAGAUGAUGUAAGAGUGAAAAUGGUUAAAUAACACAGUCACAGCAGGUGUACCAAUCAUCACAGUCUCAUAUAUGUCUUGGAUUGCCCUAGCGAUGCGGUACUUUGCAUAAAGUCAUCAAGUUUACAACCCUCGAAAUUUCCAUAGAAAAUAUAUAUUCUGAAUGCAGAGUUGAUUGUUUUCCAGGCAUAAUAUUUCUUCAGUUUUUAUGACAGGCAAUCAAAGAGAUAAACAUUUUAACACUUGCUAUCUGAUUGUAUUUGAUAAUUUGUUACUAAAAGAUAAGUUUUUUUUUGAAUGUAUUUUGGUGCUAUGCCGAUAUAUAUGCCUCCCAAUGCUCAUACUUUAUACGAAUACUUGGCAUUCCUUAUUGAUUUAUUGUAAAGGAAUUUUCUUAGAGGGUAAUAGACAGUUCGGCUUGACCAUGAGUGUAUUUCUCUUAUGGCCGUUCGGGCUAUUUGAUUUUAUCAUCGUGUCUCUUUUGAUUAAAUUAGUUUUUAAUGAUUGCCAUUAAAUUUAAACUGCGACAACCAAUUGAUGUAUUUCGAUUUAUAUAUUUGAAAAUUAUAAUAUGCAUAUCAUUUGCAUAUGAGCCCGCAUGUGAUACGUUUAUUUAUGCAUUCGCUUCUUUCUUUUUGUGAAAUUUGUGCCCUUGGCAAGUAAAUCAUUUCUUGUACGAAUUUCACUUCAAUAAUAAUAUUCCCAAUAAUCGGACCUAUGCACAUUUGCGGCUUAAUCGGAUUUUGAUGCGGGUGAAAGGCGCUUAGUCAGAGCUGGGAACGGGGGGUCUUUCGGAAAUGCCGACACGCUUGUUAUUUUCAUAACUAUUAUUAACGCAGAUUGCACACACACACACACUUGGUCAAUAAAUAAAUAGAUGCACAUUAAUCACCUUUUGUAA